GUUCUUGCCUGGAGAAUCCCAGGGACGGGGGAGCCUGGUGGGCUGCCGUCUAUGGGGUCACACAGAGUCAGACACGACUGAAGUAACUUAGCAGCAGCCUUGCCCUGACCCCCUACUGGGAGUGAAGCGUGCCCCAAGUCCUGCCCUCCAUCCCUCUCCAUCAGCUAUCUGCAUGCUGUGGGGUGUUGCUUCAAGAGCUUGCUUCAGGCGUGUAAGCUGCUCCAUCCAUUAAACCAUUGUCUGUAUUGGUGACAUCGGGCUCUCUCUUAGGUCUUGAAGCCCAACAAACACAGACCUUGUAGGCCUGUAGGUGCAAACCUCUUGUUGUUUAGUUGCUCAGUCAUGUCUGACUUUUUUCCAGCCCUAUGGACUAUAACCUGGCAGGCUCCCCUGUCUAUGGGAUUUCCCAGGCAAGAAUAUUGGAAUGGGUUGCCAUUUCCUUCUCCAGGGGCAUCUUCCCAACUGAAGAAUCGAACCUGAGUCUCUUGCAUUGGCAGGGGGAUUCUUUACCACUGAUCCACUAGGGAAGCCCCCAACAGCCUCCAUCACCAAGUUAAACCAUUCUGACCCUAAAGGAACAGCUGUUACUCACUUGCCUCUGUUGGCUAUUGCUGAGUAACAAGCUGCCCCAAAUUUAGCUUAAAACAAUAAGCAUUUCCUAUUGCUUAUGGUCUGUGCAUCGGCUGGUAACCUUCUGGGCUUAGCUUGGCUGACUCACGUGACCUUGAUCAGCUUUGGGCUGGGUGUGCAGCCCCGCUGAUCUUAGCUGGGCUUUCACAGACUUUGUUGGAAUACCUGGUGACUCCUUCACAUUGUCCUAUCCUUUUGCAGGCUAGUCCAGUUUAUUUUCAUGGUCACGGAGGGAUGCAGAAGAAAAGAGUGGAAAUAUGUAAGGCCUCUUGGGGGCCAGGCUUGGAAUGAGGCCACCAUCCUGUCUGUUGUUUUCUGUUAGUCAAAGUGCAGGUUUCAGAUUGUGAUGGGAAGAGCCACAAAUUACAUUGGAGGGAGCAUGGAGACUCAGAAAGCAUUAAUUAUGCCAUCAGUAUAAUCAGCCUACCGUACUCCACAGGUAGAAAGCUGCCCAAAGCUGCCACACUAUUUUACAGGGUGCAGAGGCCUUCAAAUCCCAAAUGCAGCUGUAACUGGAAUCCUACCAGAGCACCCCAUCCUGGCUUAUGUCUGUCCUCCGUUCCUACUGCCAUCGUGGGGUGGUCACUGUUGUGAAUAGCUUAUAAGCAUGAUGCCUCGAAGUCCAUAGUUGCUGAUUUAUUUAUUUAUUUUAAAUUUUUUAUUUAUUUAUAUGUUUUGGCCACACCAUGAGUGGCAUGUGGGAUCUUAGAUUGACCCCACAGUAGCCUCCAGGGAUUGAACCCAUACCGCCCACAUUAAAGCGUGGAGUCUUAACCACUAGAUUGCCUGGAAGUCCCAGUAAUUGCUAAUUUGAAGAAUUAGCUCAAAAUGGAAGCCCUCACACAGCAAUCAGUUCACCCCUUUGGAGGUAGCGUGGUUACGUUUGGAGUCAUAAGGAUCAAGCUCAGAUCUCUGUGAAAUAUUCCUGGAAGUGUAACUUUGAGUAAGCUGAAUAGACUUUGUGAGCUUCAAUUUUCCAUAUGUAAAUGGGGAGCAUAUCCCUUCCAUAUGUAAAAUGGAAAUAUUGAGUAAAUUAAGCACCACCGUAUCUUCCAGAAGCAGCCAGCACAGUGCCCAAGCUAUACACUUGGGUUUCAUCCAGUCCAGUAUUUCACAUGAUGUACUAUGAUGAUGGAAACUGAGAAGUCCCAGAGCUGCCUAGUGUCUGCAAGCUUGAGGCCCAGGGAAGCUGGUGGUGUGAUUCCUCUCCAAACCUGGAUGCCGGAGAACGAGAGGAGCCAACGGCAUCAGUCCCAGUCUGGGUCCGAAGGCCUGCGGACUGAUGUGUGACCAGAGGCGUCUGGGUCUCCUUGGAGUAGGACACUACCUCCCUGGGCAGGAAAUCCGCUUUGGUAAACUUCGACAGGCCUAGCUUAUGCAGUCUUCUUGUGUUAAUGGUCCCAAGUCUCCUGAGUCUAGGCUUCCAGCUUCACUGGGAAUGAUCACUGAUUUCGAGGAUACAGAUGCAGGGAUUUGGAUCAGAGGGGGCUCCAGACAGAUUCCAUACUUUUUAGCAGGGCCUCUGUCUCUCACUGUUUGCAAUCCAGGUCAGAGUCAUCCUGAAUUGGUUCUUUCUUCUCCUGCAUAUCAGCCUCUUGUUUCUCUCUCCUCUUUCUUCAUUUUCUAAUCGUCCCUUAGCUGUGCUCAGAGCUGCUUUUUGCGCUGAACUUCAGCUUUUCACUCACCUUUGUUAGACAUCUGUUUCCAAGUUCUCCACACCAAGUCCUUCCUCUCCUGGUCCUCUGAAAACAGACACUCCUCACCAGUCAACCACACACAGGCACCUCCUCCCCACUCUUCUUCACCUUCUCUUUCAGCAGCAGCACUUCCUGGCAGGUCCUGAAGAGACUGGGCUCCUGUCAGAGUGAAUGGAACCCCACGACAUCCAAAAUCUGAAGCCCUGGUGGGUCCUGAGGGGAGCCAGCUCCCAUUAGUGUGGACUUGAUAAUCCCCCACCCCCGCCCAUGUUCUGGAAGCCAAAGCAGGUUCUGGAGAUGGGGCUCCCGUCAGCUGUCAAGACAUCAUUUCUUAAAGUUUGCUUGUGGUGUAGAAUCUGAGAAAAUGUCAAUGAGUUUUUUCUCUGUAACUCAAAAUUGAUUGGUCCAUCUUGUACCUUGAAUGGUUCUUUUAUCCAUACAUGAUUCUGUAGCAUCAUGCAUGGAUCAUUUGGAAAAUACUGGGUCACUUAAGUUACACAGCUCUUCCAAAUGUUGACACAUAUUGUUAUACAAUAUUUUUAAAAACACUAUUGUUUAUGUCACUGUCCAUCUCCUCAGAAAAAUCUUUAUAUAUUUGAAAUUUGUCAAGGUCAUAGUAGUGGGUAGAAGUUUCCCAAAAUUCCAAUGUUUGCUUGAGAGGUCAAUUUUCUUUCUUUCUUCUUUUUUUCUUUUUGACUGCACCACACAGCAUUCAGGAUCUUAGUCCCCAGACCUAGGAUGGAAUCUGCGCCCUGUGCAGCCAAGUGUGGAGUCUUAACCCCUGGACCACUAGGGAAGUCCCUCAAAUGUUUACUGUUAAUAACAAAUACUGUCAGUUUUCCUUGGAGUGACAGGCUUACUGGAUUUGUGGUUGAGAAAUGUCCACCAACCAGUUUCUCUCUCAUUCUUUUAAGUAAAGGUGGUGUUCCUGAAGAAAGCAGCUAGUUCAGCUUGAAACUCAAUCAUACAAGUACUUUUCCUUGAGGCUACCUUAGGAUAGAAGUGCUUCAUGUGCCCUAUUUUGAUGCAAAGCUUAUUAAAAAGAUGGGUUGAGAUUUAAUAAAAUUGCUAUUUUUAA